GUGCACUGAGGAAAGACAGGAAUUAUGGACGACUUAGUGUGUCGUGGAGGGUGCGGUCUCCACAGGUUGGGGCUAAAACCGCGGCAACCUGGGUGUGGAUGCAGGUGCAGGCGGCUGAGACUGUUAUGCUCAAGUACUGAGAGGCACUGGACAGGAGGCAUAGAGAAGAUCCCAUCCCUGUCCAGCAGAGCCACAGUGGAUGAGUGACUUCUGUUCACUAAACACAGCCUGUGGCAUCCACCUGUUUUUAACUUCAGAUCUAAGAAGGGGAUAUAGCCAAAUAAAAAGAUCUGCUUGCACCUGCCGGCUGCCCUGCUGUUUUGUGCCAUGAGUGGAAGCAGCCCGAGGACCACACCAGAUGCAACUCCUUAGAAUCAUGAACCAAAUAAACCUCUUUUCUUUACAAAUUA